rnacentral:rRNA from 1 species
AUUGAACGCUGGCGGCAGGCCUAACACAUGCAAGUCGAACGAGUGGCAGACGGGUGAGUAAUGUCUGGGAAACUGCCUGAUGGAGGGGGAUAACUACUGGAAACGGUAGCUAAUACCGCAUACCAUCGGAUGUGCCCAGAUGGGAUUAGCUAGUAGGUGGGGUAAAGGCUCACCUAGGCGAAGAUCCCUAGCUGGUCUGAGAGGAUGACCAGCCAAACGGGAACGGAGACACGGUCCGACCCCCUACGGGGGGCAGCAGAGGGGAAUAUUGCACAAUGGGCGCAAGCCUGAUGCAGACAUGCCGCGUGGAGGAAGAAGGCCUUCGGUUUGUAAAGUACUUUCAGCGGGGAGGCGUUACCCGCAGAAGAAGCACCGGCUAACUCCGUGCCAGCAGCCGCGGUAAUUC